rnacentral:tRNA from 1 species
CAAAUUAAAUUAAUUAAAUUAAAUUUUAUUUACAAUAAAAAAGUUAUUGUGGGAAUCAAUAUAAUUUGA